UCGAGGACUUAACCGAAGAAUAGCAUUGGAAACUGGAAGACUUGAGUGCAGAAGAGGAGAGUGGAAUUCCAUGUGUAGCGGUGAAAUGCGUAGAUAUAUGGAGGAACACCGGUGGCGAAAGCGGCUCUCUGGCUUGUAACUGACGCUGAGGCUCGAAAGCGUGGGGAGCAAACAGGAUUAGAUACCCU
rnacentral:rRNA from 1 species